rnacentral:rRNA from 1 species
GAUGAACGCUAGCGGGAGGCCUAACACAUGCAAGCCGAGCGGUAGAGUUUCUUCGGAAACUUGAGAGCGGCGCACGGGUGCGUAACACGUGUGCAACCUACCUUUAUCUGGGGGAUAGCCUUUCGAAAGGAAGAUUAAUACCCCAUAAUAUAAUGAUUGGCAUCAAUUAUUAUUGAAAACUCCGGUGGAUAGAGAUGGGCACGCGCAAGAUUAGAUAGUUGGUGAGGUAACGGCUCACCAAGUCAAUGAUCUUUAGGGGUCCUGAGAGGGAGAUCCCCCACACUGGUACUGAGACACGGACCAGACUCCUACGGGAGGCAGCAGUGAGGAAUAUUGGACAAUGGGUGAGAGCCUGAUCCAGCCAUCCCGCGUGAAGGAUGACGGUCCUAUGGACUGUAAACUUCUUUUGUACAGGGAUAAACCUACCCUCGUGAGGGUAGCUGAAGGUACUGUACGAAUAAGCACCGGCUAACUCCGUG